rnacentral:rRNA from 1 species
GACGAACCGUGCGAACGUUGUUCGGAUUCACUGGGCUUAAAGGGCGCGUAGGCGGUCGACCAAGUCUGGGGUGAAAGCCUGCAGCUUAACUGCAGAAUUGCCAUUGAUACUGAUGAUCUUGAGUAUGAUUGAGGUGGGCGGAAUGUGUCAUGUAGCGGUGAAAUGCUUAGAUAUGACACAGAACACCGAUUGCGAAGGCGGCUCACUGGCCCGAUACUGACGCUGAGGUGCGAAAGCGUGGGGAGCAAACAGG